rnacentral:rRNA from 1 species
CAACCUGAGAGUUUGAUCCUGGCUCAGAGCGAACGCUGGCGGCAGGCCUAACACAUGCAAGUCGAACGGACCCUUCGGGGUUAGUGGCGGACGGGUGAGUAACACGUGGGAACGUGCCUUUAGGUUCGGAAUAGCUCCUGGAAACGGGUGGUAAUGCCGAAUGUGCCCUUCGGGGGAAAGAUUUAUCGCCUUUAGAGCGGCCCGCGUCUGAUUAGCUUGUUGGUGGGGUAAUGGCCCACCAAGGCUACGAUCAGUAGCUGGUCUGAGAGGAUGACCAGCCACACUGGAACUGAGAUACGGUCCAGACUCCUACGGGAGGCAGCAGUGGGGAAUCUUGCGCAAUGGGCGAAAGCCUGACGCAGCCAUGCCGCGUGUAUGAUGAAGGUCU